GACGAACGCUGGCGGCGUGCUUAACACAUGCAAGUCGAACGGAAAGGCCCUGCUUUUGUGGGGUGCUCGAGUGGCGAACGGGUGAGUAACACGUGAGUAACCUGCCCUUGACUUUGGGAUAACUUCAGGAAACUGGGGCUAAUACCGGAUAGGAGCUCCUGCUGCAUGGUGGGGGUUGGAAAGUUUCGGCGGUUGGGGAUGGACUCGCGGCUUAUCAGCUUGUUGGUGGGGUAGUGGCUUACCAAGGCUUUGACGGGUAGCCGGCCUGAGAGGGUGACCGGCCACAUUGGGACUGAGAUACGGCCCAGACUCCUACGGGAGGCAGCAGUGGGGAAUAUUGCACAAUGGGCGGAAGCCUGAUGCAGCAACGCCGCGUGCGGGAUGACGGCCUUCGGGUUGUAAACCGCUUUCGCCUGUGACGAAGCGUGAGUGACGGUAAUGGGUAAAGAAGCACCGGCUAACUACGUGCCAGCAGCCGCGGUGAUACGUAGGGUGCGAGCGUUGUCCGGAUUUAUUGGGCGUAAAGGGCUCGUAGGUGGUUGAUCGCGUCGGAAGUGUAAUCUUGGGGCUUAACCCUGAGCGUGCUUUCGAUACGGGUUGACUUGAGGAAGGUAGGGGAGAAUGGAAUUCCUGGUGGAGCGGUGGAAUGCGCAGAUAUCAGGAGGAACACCAGUGGCGAAGGCGGUUCUCUGGGCCUUUCCUGACGCCGAGGAGCGAAAGCGUGGGGAGCGAACAGGCUUAGAUACCCUGGUAGUCCACGCUGUAAACGGUGGGUACUAGGUGUGGGGUCCAUUCCACGGGUUCCGUGCCGUAGCUAACGCUUUAAGUACCCCGCCUGGGGAGUACGGCCGCAAGGCUAAAACUCAAAGGAGUUGACGGGGCCCCGCACAAGCGGCGGAGCAUGCGGAUUAAUUCGAUGCAACGCGUAGAACCUUACCUGGGUUUGACAUGGAUCGGGAGUGCUCAGAGAUGGGUGUGCCUCUUUUGGGGUCGGUUCACAGGUGGUGCAUGGCUGUCGUCAGCUCGUGUCGUGAGAUGUUGGGUUAAGUCCCGCAACGAGCGCAACCCUUGUUCACUGUUGCCAGCACGUUAUGGUGGGGACUCAGUGGAGACCGCCGGGGUCAACUCGGAGGAAGGUGGGGAUGACGUCAAGUCAUCAUGCCCCUUAUGUCCAGGGCUUCACGCAUGCUACAAUGGCUGGUACAGAGAGUGGCGAGCCUGCGAGGGUGAGCGAAUCUCGGAAAGCCGGUCUCAGUUCGGAUUGGGGUCUGCAACUCGACCUCAUGAAGUCGGAGUCGCUAGUAAUCGCAGAUCAGCAACGCUGCGGUGAAUACGUUCCCGGG
rnacentral:rRNA from 1 species